CGUGCAGGCGGUUCCGUAAGUCGGACGUGAAAGCUCCUGGCUUAACUGGGAGAGGUCGUUCGAUACUGCGGGGCUUGAGGUCGGGAGAGGGACGUGGAAUUCCCGGUGUAGUGGUGGAAUGCGUAGAUAUCGGGAGGAAUACCAGUGGCGAAGGCGGCGUCCUGGCCCGUACCUGACGCUGAGACGCGAAAGCGUGGGGAGCGAACG
rnacentral:rRNA from 1 species